rnacentral:lncRNA from 1 species
AUUGGUAGCAGAUCGAGAGGUGAUGUCAUGGUUCAAGUACCAUAAUUGGUAGCAGAUCGAGAAGUGAUGUCAUGGUUCGAGUACCAUGAUUGGUAGCAGAUCGAGAGGUGAUAUCAUGGUUCGACUACCAUGAUUGGUAGCAGAUCGAGGGGUGAUUUCAUGGUUCAAGUACCAUGAUUAGUCGCAGAUUGAGAGAUGAUGUCAUGGUUCGAGUACCAUGAUUGGUAGCAGAUCGAGAGGUGAUGUCAUGGUUCGAGUACCGUGAUUGGUAGCAGAUUGAGAAGAGAUGUCGUGGUUCGAGUACCAUGAUUGGUGGAAGAUUGAGAAGAGAUAUCGAUGUUCGAGUACCAUGAUAUGUGACGGUUAGUGCUUCUGGUUUUUACCGAUUGUUCCACAGUGAUUAUCUGGACCAAGGUUGGAUGUGAAAGAGUAUGUGUCCAGAAGGCUAGGAUGAACGAGUUUUACUG